rnacentral:rRNA from 1 species
CCUACGGGAGGCAGCAGUGGGGAAUAUUGCGCAAUGGACGAAAGUCUGACGCAGCAACGCCGCGUGAGGGAUGACGGCCUUCGGGUUGUAAACCUCUUUCAGCAGGGACGAAGCGAGAGUGACGGUACCUGCAGAAGAAGGACCGGCCAACUACGUGCCAGCAGCCGCGGUAAUACGUAGGGUCCGAGCGUUGUCCGGAAUUAUUGGGCGUAAAGGGCUCGUAGGCGGUUCGUCACGUCGGGAGUGAAAACUCGGAGCUUAACUCCGAGCCUGCUUCCGAUACGGGCAGACUAGAGGUAGGCAGGGGAGAGCGGAACUCCUGGUGUAGCGGUGGAAUGCGCAGAUAUCAGGAAGAACACCGGUGGCGAAGGCGGCUCUCUGGGCCUUACCUGACGCUGAGGAGCGAAAGCGUGGGUAGCGAACAGGAUUAGAUACCCUGGUAGUCCACGCCGUAAACGUUGGGCGCUAGGUGUGGGGGACGAUUCCACGUCCUCCGUGCCGCAGCUACGACAUAAGCGCCCGCCGUCGGGAGGUACGGCCGCGAGGACGUAAACCUACAAAGGAAGUUAGACGGCGUGAGACGNGCCGACGGACGACGACGAGGGAGUAGG